AGUCAUUAACUUGUUCCAUUCUACAAACUUCAUCAAUUACAUUUUUUCGGCAAAAGUCAUAACCAUAUCUAAUCUCUACUUCGUGGGAUAACGCGAUUUAGUAGAAGCAAACUCCAGUAAACAAAACUUAACCAAUUGACUAAAAACACUUACCCGUUCCUCAAUUACUUAGAGACACAAUCAUCGGAUAUACCCAACUCGAUACCAUAAACAAAAUUGAAAAUUGACAUUACAAAGAAAAAGAACAAAAACCAAAGAAGAAGACGCAAACCCGGU
rnacentral:sRNA from 1 species